CUGAAAAGGAAUUUGUUGUACUGUACAGUGUUGGAGUGCACACACCCGGAGAGCUCAAAGCACUAGAGAAGAGAAUGGAAUCUUCUCAGCUCUGAACUAGGAACCUCACAACCAGUGACUUAGUGAAAGAUCACCUGCGUUACUUGAUGGGUGGAAGAUCAAGUGUUGAAGAAGAGGUUCUCUGCAAGUUCACCUUCCCUGAGAGACAUGGUGCUCUGAUGAACUUCUUGGACUCUUUCAGUCCACGUUGGAACAUUUUUAUUAAUAUAAUUAUGCAAUUGUUUUAGGCUUCUCCUUCGUUGGUGAUAUUGACACUUCGGCUCCAUUCGAGUCAGUGAGAGAAGCCGCCACUCGCUUUGGCGGAUUCGGUUUCUAGAAACCUUCUUCCCUUAACAACAUCCCAAAGCAUCUCAGGUCUCAUCUCUCUCUCUCUCUCUCAUCUUGGUUUAUAGGGUUUAUUUACUGAAUUUGUUAGAAAAACAUCUUGCUUAAAUCUUAAAAUGUCGUGAUGCGUGAAGCUUAAAGUUUCGAACUUUUGCUACAGGACGAUGUGGACAAAGCUAAUAUUGUGGCGAGUGAGUUAUAGAAAGAACUUAUCUCCAAAGAAGGAGAAGCUUUGAAAGUCUUGAAGUCUCGAGUCGACCAAAGCCAUAGUUGAAGAGCUCAAAUCAAAGCUACACGGAAAAGAAGACAACGAGAACUGCGACAUGAACGUUCUGAAAGAGCUAAACCAAGCCAAGACGAAUCUUUGCAAGACGACAGUAGAUCUCGCUGCUAUAUGUGAGUCCGUCGAGUUACUAAACAAGAGACUUGAAGAGGAGCGAGCUGCGCUCGAGAAGACACGAGAGAGGUUAAACUCUGAGAAUGCGGCAGAGAUCUCAAAGGAGAUUCAGAGACUAAGUGAUGAUGUGUUGGAGUUUAGUAAAACAGGGUAAGAAGCGCGUUUUGCGGUUGAUAAAGCUGUGUUUGAGAUCGAACGGAUGAGGAGCAAGAUCAAAGCUGCUGAGAUGCGUUUGGUCGCUGCUAGGAAGAUGAAGGAAGCUGCUAGAGUGGCUGAAGCAGUUGCAAUAGCUGAAAUCAAAGAUGUCACCAGGAG